rnacentral:rRNA from 1 species
AUUGAACGCUGGCGGCAUGCCUUACACAUGCAAGUCGAACGGCAGCACGGGAGCUUGCUCCUGGUGGCGAGUGGCGAACGGGUGAGUAAUACAUCGGAACGUACCCUGAAGUGGGGGAUAACGUAGCGAAAGUUACGCUAAUACCGCAUAUUCUGUGAGCAGGAAAGAGGGGGAUCGCAAGACCUCUUGCUUUAGGAGCGGCCGAUGUCGGAUUAGCUAGUUGGUGAGGUAAAGGCUUACCAAGGCGACGAUCUGUAGCGGGUCUGAGAGGAUGAUCCGCCACACUGGAACUGAGACACGGUCCAGACUCCUACGGGAGGCAGCAGUGGGGAAUUUUGGACAAUGGGCGCAAGCCUGAUCCAGCCAUGCCGCGUGAGUGAAGAAGGCC